AUACGGAGGGUGCAAGCGUUAUCCGGAAUCAUUGGGUUUAAAGGGUCCGUAGGCGGACUAUUAAGUCAGAGGUGAAAUCCCACAGCUCAACUGUGGAACUGCCUUUGAUACUGGUAGUCUUGAGUUAUAUGGAAGUAGAUAGAAUGUGUAGUGUAGCGGUGAAAUGCAUAGAUAUUACACAGAAUACCGAUUGCGAAGGCAGUCUACUACGUACAUACUGACGCUAAGGGACGAAAGCGUGGGGAGCGAACAGGAUUAGAAACCCUAGUAGUCC
rnacentral:rRNA from 1 species